AGCCCUUGACAUCCCGGUCGCGGACUCCAGAGACGGAGUUCUUCAGUUCGGCUGGACCGGAGACAGGUGCUGCAUGGCUGUCGUCAGCUCGUGUCGUGAGAUGUUGGGUUAAGUCCCGCAACGAGCGCAACCCCCGUCCUUAGUUGCUACCAUUUAGUUGAGCACUCUAAGGAGACUGCCGGUGAUAAGCCGCGAGGAAGGUGGGGAUGACGUCAAGUCCUCAUGGCCCUUACGGGCUGGG
rnacentral:rRNA from 1 species